rnacentral:rRNA from 1 species
AUUGAACGCUGGCGGCAUGCUUUACACAUGCAAGUCGAACGGUAACAGGGAGCUUGCUCCGCUGACGAGUGGCGAACGGGUGAGUAAUGCGUCGGAACGUGCCGAGUAGUGGGGGAUAACGCAUCGAAAGGUGUGCUAAUACCGCAUACGAACUGAGGUUGAAAGUGGGGGACCUUCGGGCCUCACGCUAUUCGAGCGGCCGACGUCUGAUUAGCUAGUUGGUGAGGUAAAGGCUCACCAAGGCGACGAUCAGUAGCGGGUCUGAGAGGAUGAUCCGCCACACUGGGACUGAGAGACGGCCCAGACUCCUACGGGAGGCAGCAGUGGGGAAUUUUGGACAAUGGCGCAAGCCUGAUCCAGCCAUGCCGCGUGGCUGAAGAAGGCCUUCGGGUUGUAAAGGACUUUUGUCCGGGAGCAAAUGCUGGUGGCUAACAUCCACCGGAGCUGAGAGUACCGGAAGAAUAAGCACCGGCUAACUACGUGCCAGCCGCCGCCGUAACAC